rnacentral:misc_RNA from 1 species
GAUGAAGAACGUAGCGAAAUGCGAUAAGUAGUGUGAAUUGCAGAAUUCAGUGCAUCAUCGAAUCUUUGAACGCACAUUGCGCCUUCUAGUAUUCUGGGAGGCAUGCCUGUUUGAGCGUCAUUAAACCUCUCUCAAGUAUGAUUACUUGGAUGUGAAGGAAGAGUACCUUAAACUUAAGGAGUGUUCUCCUUUGAAAUUGAUUAGCAGAUGGUAAUGUUAUUAAAUCCCUGAUGUUGUAAGAAAUAACAGUGGUUUUGUAGACUAUUAUCUAGCUUUAAAUUAUAAUUUUUAUUAUGGUUGACCUCAAAUCAGGUAAGGAUACCCGCUGAACUUAAGCAUAUCAAUAAGCGGAGGA